rnacentral:rRNA from 1 species
AUUGAACGCUGGCGGCAUGCCUUACACAUGCAAGUCGAACGGUAACAGGUCUUCGGAUGCUGACGAGUGGCGAACGGGUGAGUAAUACAUCGGAACGUGCCCGAUCGUGGGGGAUAACGCAGCGAAAGCUGUGCUAAUACCGCAUACGAUCUACGGAUGAAAGCGGGGGAUCGCAAGACCUCGCGCGGACGGAGCGGCCGAUGGCAGAUUAGGUAGUUGGUGGGAUAAAAGCUUACCAAGCCGACGAUCUGUAGCUGGUCUGAGAGGACGACCAGCCACACUGGGACUGAGACACGGCCCAGACUCCUACGGGAGGCAGCAGUGGGGAAUUUUGGACAAUGGGCGCAAGCCUGAUCCAGCUAUGCCGCGUGCAGGAUGAAGGCCUUCGGGUUGUAAACUGCUUUUGUACGGUACGAAAAGACUCUCUCUAAUACAGGGGUGAAUGACGGUACCGUAAGAAUAAGCACCGGCUAACUACGUGCCAGC